GACAAAAAUUUUAAACUUAACAAGGAAACUUCAAAAGCAGUACUUUGCCACAACUACUUAUACAAUAAUUGAAGUUAUACAAAUUUUACAAGGAUUUAAGGAAGAAGACGGUGGUUUAUAAAAGAGCUAUUAGUGGAUAGUGUGUUGACUUUUAAUGAUUGGAAAUCAGGUUAUUAAAAGAUAUAUUGAAGAUAUGUUAUUA